rnacentral:tRNA from 1 species
GCCGGGGUAGCUCAGUCCGGAAGAGCAACGGUCUCCAAAACCGUGAGCCGCAGGUUCAAAUCCUGUCCCCGGUGCCA